UCAAAGGCCCUUCUCAGGGCCACCCAUGAAGUCUGUGAAAGAGCUG
rfam:Gorilla gorilla gorilla genomic chromosome, chr6, whole genome shotgun sequence